CUACUCAGUAUAGCUGUUGGAAAUUCCCUGGGAGCAGGUAAACUACAUAGACCAUAAUUCUUUGCAGCAGGAUAAGGCGGGGCUUAGAGGUUAAAAUGGCACUGUCGGCCAUUUUAUUAUUUCUUUGUUUGGCAUGGUCUGAGGAUUUGAACCUCUUUUGGAUUGUGGACUGAGCUUCCAAUGGAUGUGUGUUUGUAUAAAACCAUCCAUCCUGUGUAUCCAUCCUGUAGAUACAACCAUCCUGUAUAAUCUCUCCAUUCACCCUAUGUCUCCCUACAUCAUCUUCUUUCCUCCAUCCAUCCUUUCCUCAGCCAUGCAUUAACUGUCCAUUCAUGCACCUGCUCUGCCUCAUUGUGAGAUAUGCUGUGACUCUGAGAAUAAACUGCAUCAGUUGAA